rnacentral:misc_RNA from 1 species
AACGCACCUUGCGCUCCUUGGUAUUCCGAGGAGCAUGCCUGUUUGAGUGUCAUGAAAUCUUCAACCCACCUCUUUCUUAGUGAAUCUGGUGGUGCUUGGUUUCUGAGCGCUGCUCUGCUUCGGCUUAGCUCGUUCGUAAUGCAUUAGCAUCCGCAAUCGAACUUCGGAUUGACUUGGCGUAAUAGACUAUUCGCUGAGGAUUCUAGUCUCUGACUAGAGCCGGGUUUGGUUAAAGGAAGCUUCUAAUCCUAAAGUCUAUUUUUUGAUUAGAUCUCAAAUCAGGUAGGACUACCCGCUGAACUUAA